ACUUGAUAGUGAUUAAGCAGUCUUUUUUUGGGUACAUGAAAAUUCUGGAAACAUGAAAACUUUCUAUUAAGCGGCCAAUUUUUUUUGGUUUCCCUCUUUCUUUUCCUAAUUCACAAACCCUCUCCGAAUUCACAAACCCUCUUUAUUUUCGUUUCAAUUCCCUCUGUUCAUCCCCCAAAAUUCUUAAAUUAGCCCUCUCUUAUUUUUGCACAUAAAUUAGGGUUGAUUAUCGUACAAUCUUGUCAUCAUAGUCCGAUUACAAUUCUUUGUAGGCGAGUUGAAAUUGCUUGAAUCACAAUUUACCGAAAUUUCUUUGCUCUCAAGACUAGUGAACAAGAAUGACGAAGAAUGGAAGUAAGAAGCUUGAAAUUGCCUUGUAGUCCAUUUUAGCACCUUAUGAGAAAGUAAGGUCCAUGACUAUGGAAAGAAAUGCCCGGAGGUUUAGAGAAUUAGGGCUCGACAAGAUUGCUUAACAAUUGUUGGAAAAAAAUAAGAACUUUACAAAAGGAAAGGAGAAUGUGAAUUCUAAUGUAGAUGAUAAAGACUAUGUGCCUGGUGAAGAAAAUUGUGACCUUGAUGAGGAGUUUGAGAUGUCUCGAGAAGCAACAACCUCUAUACCUAAGAAGAAGGCAAGAACUAGAGAGCAACCACCUAGGAAGAAUAAGAAGCAGCCAUUGUGCCCAUCUAUGGCAAUGGACGAUUUCCUUGUUGCUCAAAAUCAAAUGAAUCUAGCUGAAGUACGACAAAUAGAGCAAGAUGUACAACAAUUGGAGCAAGAUCGACAAAGAUCUAAGCGUCCGCUUUCGACUAAAGUUCCACUAGAAAGCCGAGGAGAAUCUGUCUCCGCACAAGGGUCUGUUGCUACUUAAGCAGGGCCUGCUGCUGAUGGUGCAAGGCCUACUGCUAAUGGUGCAGUGCCUAUUGCUGAUGGUGCAGUGCCUGCUGCUGAUGUUCCUAAGAAGAAAGGGCGAGGUCCAACAAAUUUGUUUGAUGCCCAUGCUCGCAAAUGGGAAGAUUGCGUAGCUAUCUACUGUAAUGACAAAGGACAAGCUAUCGGGCCUGAAAAGGCAAGGAAAGAACUAACUAAAUUAUUAGGAACUAUUGCUUAAGAUUACAGUUGGACUCCCUUGACAUACACAAAUUGGAAACAAGUUCCAAACAAGGAGAAAAUCUGGGAAUUUGUGAAUAACAAGUACAUCCUUCCAGUUGAAGCUAAGAAUUGGUAAUGGAGACUCUUGAUCAAUCAUGGAGAGGAUUCAAAUGUCGCCUCAAAAGAGAUCAUUAUUAUAUGUAUGACACCUAUGAAGAGAGAUUGAAGCAUCCUCCUGAAAGAGUUCCUGAAGCACAUUACAAAACACUUUUAGCUUACUGGGGGACACCAAUAGCAAAGGUAUAAUUGAACAAUUAGGAACUCAAUAAAUUUGUCUUGACUUUAAUGCUUUUUUUUUUAUGUAGAAAACCAGCUUGCAUGACUAUUACAAGGACUUGGUGCCACUCGUAAGAAGCGAAAAGAUAAAGGACCUGGUACCUCUUUGAUUCUACCAGAAGAGGUCAUGGAGUCUAUUAAAAGUGUUGUAACUGCUGAUGUUUAGAAGGAUAUAAAUGCUGAAAUUGAAGAAUUUGCCAAGGAAAAAGAAGUUCAUGCUGCACAAGAAGCUAAAAUAGAAAGGAAGACUAAGGAGCUUGAAUCUGAGACCUUAAAACUGCAAGAGAUACGCAUGGAUAUUAAAAAUCAGCAAGGGAAUAUAACUCUUGAUGCAGUAAUAUCAGCACUUGCACAACUACGCCAAAAAGAUCCUAGCUUAACUCUAGAAAUUAUUGCAAAAGCUAUCGUUUCAACGACUACAAAUGAUGCAUAAACUAUAUUAUUUAAGAUUAUA